rnacentral:rRNA from 1 species
GAGAUCUUCGGAUCUAGUGGCGCACGGGUGAGUAACGCGUGGGAACCUACCUUUUAGUUCGGGAUAACAGUUGGAAACGACUGCUAAUACCGUAUACGCCCUCCGGGGGAAAGGUCAGCCGCUGAAAGAGGGGCCCGCGUCUGAUUAGCUUGUUGGUAGGGUAAAAGCCUACCAAGGCUACGAUCAGUAGCUGGUCUGAGAGGAUGAUCAGCCACACUGGGACUGAGACACGGCCCAGACUCCUACGGGAGGCAGCAGUCGGGAAUAUUGGACAAUGGAGGAAACUCUGAUCCAGCAAUGCCGCGUGUGUGAUGAAGGCCCUAGGGUUGUAAAGCACUUUCAACGGUGAAGAUGAUGACGGUAGCCGUAGAAGAAGCCCCGGCUAACUUCGUGCCAGCAGCCGCGGUAAUACGAAGGGGGCGAGCGUUGUUCGGAAUUAUUGGGCGUAAAGGGCGCGCAGGCGGUUUGGAUAGUUAGACGUGAAAGCCCUGGGCUUAACCUAGGAACUGCGUUUAAUACUGCCAAACUAGAGAACUAGAGAGGAUAGCGGAACUCCCAGUGUAGAGGUGAAAUCCGUAGAUAUUGGGAAGAACAUCAGUGGCGAAAGCGGCUGUCUGGCUAGUUUCUGACGCUGAGGCGCGAAAGCGUGGGGAGCAAACAGGAUUAGAUA